AUUAACCCUCCUGUUAUGUUACGGGUCAAAUUGACCCGUUUUAAAGUUUGAAGAUCUAGGAAAAAUAGUUAAAAGUAUUUUUUCAGCAUGAAACUUCUUCUGCUUGCCUUAAAUAGUGUAAUCAACAUAUAAUAUGAAAAUGAUUCAUCUCACAUAUUUGCAACCACCCCCUGCAUGUUUAUAUCACAUAGAUACUGUUCGGGUCAAUUUGACCCAGCAGUCAAACUGGAGGUAAAAGGGUGUCAGAAAUGCAACUGUGAGACAUGUUUCACCCCAAUCUCACUCACACACACACACACACACACACACACACACACACACACACACACACACACACACACACACACACACAGGAUGAAAGGCUGGUGGCAUUCAGAGGUCGCUGCCCAUUUAGGCAAUACAUGCCUUCCAAACCAGCUAAAUAUGGGAUAAAAAUCUGGGCAGCAUGUGAUGCAAACACCAGCUAUGCAUUGAACAUGCAGGUUUACACUGGAAAGCUGGUUGGAGGAGCCCCAGAGAAGAAUCAGGGCACAAGGGUCAUGCUCGACAUGGCACAGGGUCUCAGGGGACAGAACAUAACCUGUGACAAACUACAACUUGUGCCAGGAGCUUCUAAAGAGAAAGCUCACAAUGGUCGAAACUGUCCGAAAGAACAGGGCUGAACUCCAUGCUGAGCUGCUGGUAAUCAAGGACAGGGCCCCUCAAUCUUCCAUGUUUGCCUUCACAGACACCACAGCCCUAGUGUCUUACUGCCCCAAAAAGUCAAAAAAUGUUGAGCUCAUGAGCACUCUGCACAAAAAUGCUGAAAUCAUCACAAGAGAGGACCAGAAACCAAGCAUGAUCCUUGAUUACAAUGCCACCAAAGGGGGGUAGACAACUUAGACAAAGUAACAGGGUCCUACAGCACCAAACGGAUGACUGCGCGCUGGCCAUUGGUCAUCUUUUAUAACAUGAUCGAUGUAUCAGCCUACUAUGCAUUUAUCAUCGGGACGGAGAUAUUUCCUGAUUGGAAUGUGUCAAAGCUGUACAAGAGGCGCAUCUUUCUCGAGGAGCCGGGGAAGGAGCUUGUGACACCGCACAUCCAACGUAGGCAGCACCUGCCAAGGACCCCAGCCGCUGCAGCCACAGUGAGGGAGAUCCAGGAGAGGACUGCAUCAAGUACACCAAUGCGUGAGGUUGCUGCUGAGGGGAAAAGAAAGAGGAAGAGGAGCCAGGUCUGCAGGCCAUCUGACGAUGUCAAGACAAGCAUGACCUGCGCGAAAUGUGCAAAAUUCAUUAGCACGAAGCACAGUGUUAUGACAUGUCACUCGUGUGUUGUGUAGAUGUACAGACAAACAGACAGACACACACACACAUACACCUUGUUCAUAUUGCAAUUGCUUGUUUGUUGUAUUGUAUUGCGAUUUUGUUCAUUUCUGGUUCACAAACAGUGCAUGCAUGUAAAACAAAAUUUAAAUGUUAAGUUUCAAUGUUGUGUAAAACUAUUGUGUUUUAUAUGUUGGUCUUUCAAAAGAAAUAAAGUGGUGAAACAUUAAAAAAAGUUUGAA